rnacentral:rRNA from 1 species
AGUCCUUGGCCCACCUGACCCAGCACGCCGCGUGAGUGAUGAAGGUCUUCGGAUCGUAAAACUCUGUUGUCAAGGAAGAAUGUCAUAUAUAGUAAAUGAUUUAUGACUGACGGUACUUUACCACAACGUCACGGGUUACUACGUGCCACCAGCCGCGAUAAUA